rnacentral:rRNA from 1 species
AUCUAUUUAGGUAGAGCGUCAUCCGAAUACCCCGGGGGGUAGAGCACUGGAUGGGUAAUGGGGCCCCACAGGCUUACUGAUCCUAACCAAACUCCGAAUACCCGGGAGUAAUAGAUGGCAGACACACUGCGGGUGCUAACGCCCGUAGUGAAAAGGGAAACAACCCUGACCGACAGUUAAGGCCCCUAAUUCAUGGCUAAGUGGGAAAGCAGGUGGGACGACCAAAACAACCAGGAAGUUGGCUUAGAAGCAGCCAUCUUUUAAAGAUAGCGUAACAGCUCACUGGUCUAAUUAAGUUGUCCUGCGGCGAAGAUGUAACGGGGCUCAAGCCAUGAGCCGAAACUUCGGAUGCAUUUAAUGCAUGGUAGCGGAGCGUAGUGUGACAUAGUUCCAUGCGUCCUUCGUUUUAUAGCGGACUGCCCAGGCUUUCGAGCCUGUGUGGAGGCGCAUAAAAUACUGGACGCAUGGAGCUUUCUGUGAAGCCGGCCUGUGAGGGAUCCGGUGGAGAGAUCACUAGUGAGAAUGAUGACAUGAGUAACGACAAAGGGGGUGAGAGACCCCCUCGCCGAAAAUCCAAGGGUUCCUGCUUAAAGCUAAUCUGAGCAGGGUAAGCCGGCCCCUAAGCCGAGGGCGAAAGCCGUAGGCGAUGGGAACCAGGUUAAUAUUCCUGGGCCAGGAGGAAGUGACGGAUCACAAAGAUUGUUGGAUCAGGCGUAGUUGCCCCAGCAGUUCAGUGGUUCCUGGAAAUAGCCCUCCAUCAGACCGUACCCUAAACCGACACAGGUGGAUAGGUAGAGUAUACCAAGGCGCUUGAGAGAACUAUGUUGAAGGAACUCGGCAAAAUACCUCCGUAAGUUCGCGAGAAGGAGGCCCGGUUUCUAGGCAACUGGAAGCUGGGGGCACAAACCAGGGGGUGGCGACUGUUUACUAAAAACACAGGGCUCUGCGAAGUCGCAAGACGACGUAUAGGGUCUGACGCCUGCCCGGUGCCUGAAGGUUAAAAGGAGGGGUGAGAGCUCCGAAUUGAAGCCCAGGUAAACGGCGGCCGUAACUAUAACGGUCCUAAGGUAGCGAAAUUCCUUGUCGGGUAAGUUCCGACCUGCACGAAUGGCGUAACGACUUCCCCGCUGUCUCCAACAUAGACUCAGUGAAAUUGAAUUGCCUGUCAAGAUGCAGGCUUCCCGCGGUUAGACGGAAAGACCCCGUGCACCUUUACUACAACUUUACACUGAUAACAGGCACAACAUGUGCAGAAUAGGUGGUAGGCUUUGAAGCAGAAACGCCAGUUUUUGUGGAGCCUCCUUUGAGAUACCACCCUUGUUUUGCUUGUUAUCUAACUGCGGUCCGUUAUCCGGAUCCAGGACCCUGUAUGGUGGGUAGUUUGACUGGGGCGGUCGCCUCCUAAAGCGUAACGGAGGCGCGCGAAGGUUGGCUCAGAGCGGUCGGAAAUCGCUCGUUGAGUGCAAUGGCAGAAGCCAGCCUGACUGCGAGACUGACAAGUCGAGCAGAGUCGAAAGACGGCCAUAGUGAUCCGGUGGUCCCGAGUGGAAGGGCCAUCGCUCAACGGAUAAAAGGUACGCCGGGGAUAACAGGCUGAUGGUGCCCAAGAGUCCAUAUCGACGGCACCGUUUGGCACCUCGAUGUCGGCUCAUCUCAUCCUGGGGCUGGAGCAGGUCCCAAGGGUACGGCUGUUCGCCGUUUAAAGAGGUACGUGAGCUGGGUUUAGAACGUCGUGAGACAGUUCGGUCCCUAUCUGCCGUGGGUGUAGGAUACUUGAGAGGAGUUGCCCCUAGUACGAGAGGACCGGGGUGAACGAUCCACUGGUGGACCAGUUGUCGACUACGGCAGUGCUGGGUAGCUAUGAUCGGACAGGAUAACCGCUGAAAGCAUCUAAGCGGGAAGCCCCCCUCAAAACAAGGUAUCCCUGAGGACCGAGGUAGACCACCUCGUCGAUAGGCCAGAGGUGUAAGCGUGGUAACACGUUCAGCUGACUGGUACUAAUGGUCCGAUAGGCUUGAUUUG